CACGUAGGGCGCAAGCGUUGUCCGGAAUUAUUGGGCGUAAAGAGCUCGUAGGCGGUCUGUCGCGUCCGUUGUGAAAACUCGAGGCUCAACCUCGGGCUUGCAGUGGAUACGGGCAGACUAGAGUGCGGUAGGGGAGACUGGAAUUCCUGGUGUAGCGGUGGAAUGCGCAGAUAUCAGGAGGAACACCGGUGGCGAAGGCGGGUCUCUGGGCAGUAACUGACGCUGAGGAGCGAAAGCGUGGGGAGCGAACAGG
rnacentral:rRNA from 1 species